rnacentral:rRNA from 1 species
GACGAACGCUGGCGGCGUGCUUAACACAUGCAAGUCGAACGCUGAAGCUCAGCUUUUGUUGGGUGGAUGAGUGGCGAACGGGUGAGUAACACGUGAGUAACCUGCCCCCUUCUUUGGGAUAACGCCCGGAAACGGGUGCUAAUACUGGAUAUUCACUGGUCUUCGCAUGGGGGUUGGUGGAAAGGGUUUUUCUGGUGGGGGAUGGGCUCGCGGCCUAUCAGCUUGUUGGUGGGGUGAUGGCCUACCAAGGCUUUGACGGGUAGCCGGCCUGAGAGGGUGACCGGUCACAUCGGGACUGAGAUCCGGCCCAGACUCCUACGGGAGGCAGCAGUGGGGAGUAUUGCACAAUGGGCGCAAGCCUGAUGCAGCGGCGCCGCGGGAGGGAUGGAGGCCGUCGGGUUGUGAACCUCUUUCGCUCAUGGUCAAGCCGCAACAAUGGUUGUGGUGAGGGUAGUGGGUAAAGAAGCGCCGGCUAACUACGUG